rnacentral:precursor_RNA from 10 species
CUAAAUGUUUGGUCACUAUUCCUCACUUUUUACUCUUCUAUUAAUUCUGCAUCGUAUCAGUUUGCAGAAUAGUAGAAGAGUAAAGUGUUUAGAUUACAACUGCACAAAACUCCU